rnacentral:rRNA from 1 species
AGUGAACGCUGGCGGUAGGCCUAACACAUGCAAGUCGAACGGCAGCACAGUAAGAGCUUGCUCUUACGGGUGGCGAGUGGCGGACGGGUGAGGAAUACAUCGGAAUCUACUUUUUCGUGGGGGAUAACGUAGGGAAACUUACGCUAAUACCGCAUACGACCUACGGGUGAAAGCAGGGGAUCUUCGGACCUUGCGCGAUUGAAUGAGCCGAUGUCGGCUUAGCUAGUUGGCGGGGUAAAGGCCCACCAAGGCGACGAUCCGUAGCUGGUCUGAGAGGAUGUUCAGCCACACUGGAACUGAGACACGGUCCAGACUCCUACGGGAGGCAGCAGUGGGGAAUAUUGGACAAUGGGCGCAAGCCUGAUCCAGCCAUACCGCGUGGGUGAAGAAGGCCUUCGGGUUGUAAAGCCCUUUUGUUGGGAAAGAAAAGCAGCAGGUUAAUACCCCGCUGUUCUGACGGUACCCAAAGAAUAAGCACCGGCUAACUUCGUG